rnacentral:tRNA from 1 species
UAUGUGGCUCAGUGGUAGAGCACUUGCCUAGCAUGCCUGAAGUCCCAGGUUCAAUUCCCGGCGCUAUAA